rnacentral:lncRNA from 1 species
CUGCAUCAUGCUGCUGCUGCUACAGGAUGGGAGAAUGGUGGUAUCAGUGAUUCAAGACUGUUUUUCCUACAUCUUCAGUGCCUUUUUCAAUGCUGUGGAGUUAAAACCAGCAUAGGUCUUUCUCUGUGCUUACCUGCUGGGAUCCACUAUGAUGUCUACCACUGAGGCUGUUCCUCCUCUCAAGACUCAAGACCCUCUUUACUUCUUUUAACUCCACUAGAGGAAGGACAGCAGUAAAAUGUUCAAUGCCGUUUGUGUCUGUUCUUGGCAGUGACAUUCAGUUCUCUUUAUAAAACAAGGGAGUAGAAAGAGAGUAGAAGUGACAUCUUCACACACACAUACCGUUUGCUAGAUUUGUCAAACAGCUGAUUUCAAACUGUUAAUAUGACACAGAAUCAAUUUUUUUGAGUCAAACUUUUCAUUAUACAAUAGAAUUGAAAAGUUAAUAUCAGAAUAACUGUCUGUUAGUAAGAUUUUAUUUAAAAAAUUUGGUUGCAUACACACCUAAACAUUCACUUACAUUGUUAUAGCAUAUGACAUUGUGAUGUAAAAUAUAUUUCUUACUCUAGUCACGGUCAUAAACGAUCGAAAGCCAUGACUUAAGGGCAUUAUUUAGUGCUGAGCUGUCUAAUAUGGUAGCUAUUUUAUUUAAAUGUAAAUGAAUUAAAAUUACAUAAAAUUAAAAUCAGUGUCUUAACCAAAGCGGCCACAUUUAAUUGCUCAAUAAUUACUUGUGGCAACUUUAUUGUAUAUCUUGGGUCCAGCCUUUUAUCAUCGCAGAAAGUUCUGCUGGCAGUGCUGAUGUAGAAACAAUCUAAUACUAUAUUUGUAACAUUUUCUUUAUAUGAAAUUUGUACAUAACAAAUAAUGUCCAACAAUUAAUAAAAUUUGUGGUGGUUUUUGUCUUUUGCUACAAUAAAGUUUUAUGCAAUAGUAUUUAGCUGGUUGUAUUAGAUAGUGUUGACUUAUUGAAAGAAUUCCAUUGCUUUAUUUAAGAAAAGCAAGACCCAAAACCAUGAAGCAAGAAAGAAUAAUCAUUAGUGGCAUGAACUCGGAAUCCACUGCUCAGAUUCAAAUCCACUUUUCUACCUGUGUGAACUUGGACAUUUAUUUGCCUCAGUUCUAUUACCUGUAUAAUGGAUAUGACGUGAAUAGUUUUAUCUAUAUCUUAGUGCUUAAAUUUAUAAAGUGGACUUUAUAUUACAAAUUUAUAUUCAUAAAAUGCCUACACAAGUAAAAGCUAAAUUAAGUGAUGAGUUAAAUUCAUUUUUUGUCUAAACGUAUUUGUGUCAUAUAUAAAUAAAUAUAUACUUGUAUUUGUGUGUGUAUGUAUAUUAUUUUGUCAAGCAUCUUCUGAAAAUGCGCAGAAGGCACAAUGCAAAGUUGUG